rnacentral:rRNA from 1 species
UAGUCCACGCCGUAAACGAUGAAUACUAGGUGUCGGGGGUCGAACCUCGGUGCCGCAGCUAACGCAUUAAGUAUUCCACCUGGGGAGUACGAUCGCAAGAUUGAAACUCAAAGGAAUUGACGGGGGCCCGCACAAGCGGUGGAGCAUGUGGUUUAAUUCGAAGCAACGCGAAGAACCUUACCAAAUCUUGACAUCCCAUUGACCACUAUUUAAUCAUAGUUUCUCUUCGGAGCAAUGGUGACAGGUGGUGCAUGGUUGUCGUCAGCUCGUGUCGUGAGAUGUUGGGUUAAGUCCCGCAACGAGCGCAACCCUUAUUUUAGUAGCCAGCACGUAAUGGUGGGGACUCUAGAGAGACUGCCGGGGACAACUCGGAGGAAGGUGGGGAUGACGUCAAAUCAUCAUGCCCCUUAUGAUUUGGGCUACACACGUGCUACAAUGGUCAGUACAGAGGGUUGCGAAGCCGCGAGGUGGAGCUAAUCUCAGAAAACUGUUCGUAGUCCGGAUUGCACU